rnacentral:rRNA from 1 species
GCUACGGCCAUACCAGCCUGUGUACGCCCGAUCUCGUCUGAUCUCGGAAGCUAAGCAGGGUCGGGCCUGGUUAGUACUUGGAUGGGAGACCGCCUGGGAAUACCAGGUGCUGUAAGCA